rnacentral:rRNA from 1 species
AACGAACGCUGGCGGCAGGCUUAACACAUGCAAGUCGAACGCAUCCUUCGGGGUGAGUGGCAGACGGGUGAGUAACGCGUGGGAACGUGCCCUUCAGUUCGGGAUAACCCAGGGAAACUUGGGCUAAUACCGGAUACGUGCGAGAGCAGAAAGAUUUAUCGCUGAAGGAUCGGCCCGCGUCGGAUGAGCCAGUUGGUGGGGUAAUGGCCCACCAAGGCGACGAUAAGUAGCUGGGCUGAGAGGAUGAUCAGCCACAUUGGGACUGAGACACGGCCCAAACUCCUACGGGAGGCAGCAGUGGGGAAUAUUGGACAAUGGGCGCAAGCCUGAUCCAGCCAUGCCGCGUGAGUGAUGAAGGCCUUAGGGUUGUAAAGCUCUUUCAUCCGGGACGAUAAUGACGGUACCGGAAGAAGAAGCCCCGGCUAACUUCGUGCCAGCCGCCGCCGUAA